UUAUCGGAGAGUUUGAUCCUGGCUCAGGACGAACGCUGGCGGCGUGCCUAAUACAUGCAAGUCGAGCGGACAGAUGGGAGCUUGCUCCCU
rnacentral:rRNA from 5 species